rnacentral:misc_RNA from 1 species
AACACAACAAUAACACAGAUAUCUAUACCAUAGAGUCACAUCACAAAUACAAUUUCUAGUUCAUAUGAAUCCCAAGUGCAAACAUAAAAUAUCAACUAAAACAGGUGGUAAAGCUGUUACAAUACCCAUAAGAAAUGCCAUCAAGUAAGUGUACAAUGGCAAAUCGGUCCAAGCCCCAGAGACAUGCCCAUUCUCACAAACAUAAGCUCGAACAACCGGCUCACCAUCAUCAUGGCACUCGAAAACCCUCCUCAAACAAAAAGCAGAGCGCAGAUCCCAAGUCUCCUUGCACCCACAGAAGGCACACUUGAGAUCGAUCUUACUCCUAUACCCAUCAUUUAUGGUCCUCCAGACCCUAGACCGCUUAAAAUUCUUGAAAAUCCCCCUGAAAAGCAUGUAAUUGCGCUUUUCUUCCAUAUGAACGCAGCCAGGCCAAUCACAAAUGUACAAGCAAUUCCCUCGAAACCGGCUUGCUAAUAGCUCAUUCCCUUGUUCUCGGCUCAAAUUCCAGACUCCAUAGCCAAAUGGGACCUCAAAGGUCAGCAGAUUUUCUUCCUCUUACGAACAGAGAAAUUUCCAGCAGCCUUAACAGUUUUUAUCAUCGCUAACAGCUUCAUUCACAUUGGCAGAUU